UUGAAGUGUUGGCAGUUGCAAAGACCAGCAGUUAGUGGGAAAGAAGGAAAACAGCGUGUAUCAGCAGGGUUCACUGCAGGAAACAGAAACCACUCUAGCUAUUUUAAGCAGAAAGACAUUAAACAGAGAGAAGCAGGUGUUUACAGCAUUGUUUGGAAGGCUGGGGGAGCUGACUUUAGGGUUGCUUGCACCUCGGCCACAGCCGUGAAGGGUGGCCAUCAGGAGGUUGUCGUUGGAAGUGAUGACUGGAAACAUACUGCUGUCCUUGAAAUAUAAGAAUCAGGAAGUCCCUGUCGCCCCCAUUCUAUCUCCUGGCACCCAUUAAAUUAGUGACCAAAAGCCCCAGUGUCUCCACAAUCACAUUUGCCAGUGGUUACAGCCACAUGGGUGGGAAGGUUGAUUUUGCUGCAAUUCUCACUCCCAGCCUCAUGCAAAUGCAUAUAAUUAGUUGAACCUAAUUCACAGAAGCCUCAGCCACAAAAAAAGACUAGGAAACAUGGUUCUAGAUUUCCAAACUUUGCAUUAGAGAAAGAUACAGUAGAUGGAAUUGGGAAUGUGUACUCAGUGCCUACUCGGGACAUCCAGGCACCUCAAGGAAGCCACUCUUUGCCAAGAAAUGUUGAAGGAAGUGGAAAAUCCCAGAAUGUCAUUCCACCUCAUGGAUGGGACGAGGGAACUUAUAUGGCAAAUGCUUUGUCAAAGCCCAAACAUAUACCAGCUGUGAGGGCAGGAGUGCUCCCUUCCAAGGCCUCUGUUUGCCUAAAUGGAUUAACACUGGGGCUGAGAAGGCUCUAGAAAAAGAGCUAGAAGACUGUGUCAGAGACUAGAUCCUGGGAUGUGACCAACUGGAACCAAUAAGACUGAAGGUGGAGGGUGAACAGAACUGCAAGGACCACCACUGCUUCUCUAUGUAUCUGAUUCUCCUCCAGAAGCAAUGCUUCUCCUAAUGCUACCUUUAUUCACAUUGAAGACCCUACAGGGAAUCAAUACCACAUAUACAUGCUCUUCUAGGGAACUCUCUUCAAGGAUGAGCUAUUUCCAGCAAGGGAUAAGUAGCAAAACUUCAACAAAAGCACUGAUCAUGAAGAUUUAAUAUAUAUAUAAUUGUAUAGCUAGGACCCAAACCAGGGUGGGGACGUGAUCAAAUGAUAAUAUGUUAACAUGAUGUGUUCUGGCCAAGGGGGGAUGAAUGCAGCUAACUACGGGUAGAAGAAGGGAGAGAGAAGAGCCAACUAUCACAUUCAUUAUUCCUCCUCUCACAUUAUCCAUUAGGUCAAUGGUAUUGAUAGAUUCUGGGUAUGAGUACUAUCAUACCACUUAAAAUGGACAGAAUAGACAAUAAGAAGUUAAGAAAAAGAGAGAACAAAAGUAUUACAAAAGGCAUAAGUCUAGAAGUAACCAAAUAGUCCUAUAUCAAAACAACUAUGGCAAAAUAUCCUGAUCCAAUAUUAUGGUUGCUACGAACUGAAUGUUUCUCUCUCUCUCUACAGAAUUCAUAUGAUGAAGUCUCUUCCCCCAAUAGGAUGAUGUUAGGAAGUAGGGCCUUGGGAGGUGAUUAGGUCAUGAGGGUAGAGCCCUCAUGAAUAGGAAUCAUGCCCUUAUAAAAGAGGCUCGAGAGAGCUCCCUCCUCCCUUCCAUCAUGUGAGGACAUGGCAAAAAACAGCCAUCUGGUGCCUUUAUUUUGCACGUCCCGCCUCCAGAACUGUGAGAAAUAAAUUUCUGUUGUUUACAAGCCACCCAGUCUAUGGUAUUCUUGGAAUAGCAGCCUGAAUGGACUAAGACAAUGGCUCUGGAAAUUACUCAGUUCAGUGAUUUGGAGGAGAAGAUGAGGAAAUAUUCACACACCAGAAUCUGAGCAGGGGAAAAUGUGUGUCUGGAAAGAAAAUAGUGCUUUGUCCCAUUGCUUUGAUUUGCUUUUAGUUGUAUGAUUUCAUCGAUUUUGAAUUUUAUAAUCAUUUCAAUACUGUAUGAGAUUUUGUGAUGAUAAAAAGAGAAAAGGGGUUCAAAAGAGGUCAAGAAACACUAAUCUAAGGGAGUUUCCAUAUUUGGAGGAUAAGUGCAGCUACCUGAAAUCGAAUCUCUUCAUACAGACCUUAUAUUCAAACAGGAGUGCGAGAAAACUGCUACAGUCCGUUGAGUUCAGCGUUAGAAAAAGAGAAUACUUCAAACUUCAAAACUACCAAUUACCUUCAAAAACUUCAAAUUACAAUGAGUAGACAAAUGAGCACCAUAUCCCAAGACAGUUCCUAUCACUUGUCACUAUAAGCUGGGUAUGGAAUGUAUAAGACAGGAAACUGAAAAUCUCCAGGAAAAAGAACAAAGAGACAUGGAAAGGAACCAAGGAGAAAACUUAUGAUCUUGCAGAAAUAAGGCAUGAUGGUCCUGCUCCCCUCACUGUUCACUAAAGACAUUUCACUUCACUGCUCUGACAGCUGAAGGCUGAGAAUAGUCUUGAAUUAGGAACUCUGUUACAAAAUGCCCAGGAAAAGAAAAAAUAAUCAACCUAAUUCCAUAAAGAAUUUCUGUUAGAAGAACACAGAAAAUGAGAAUCACAACUGUUGAACUGAUAAAAAUUCUCCACCCCAAGCCAAUUGCAAAGCCAAAGAAAACUAUACAACAGCACUCCAAACAGAAAUUAUUCUGUUCAAACAACUGAGGAUGUUUUGGAAAACAACAAAAUCAUACAUUUAAAAAGUAGGGCCAUAAAUGGGCACAAAAUAGGAAGAAAUGCAACAAGAGUUGAUUGACUUAGGAAAAUAAAGAAAAAUUCAAGUGUUUUAAAAAUUAAGAAUAAAUACAAGGUUUGGAUAGAUUUGAAUGUUGUAUGAUUUCAGCAUUGAAGAAGGGCAGCUAAAUAAGAGAAUGGAAAUAAAAUUAAGAGAGGUGUAACCGGGGUUGAAGACAACGUGAUUAAGAUGAAAAACAGGCAAAUGAGGUCCAACAUACAUACAGUAGCAGCACUUAAAGAAGAAAAACAAAGCAAUGAAGUAUCCUAUAAUCCAAGAAAACUCUCUGGAAAUAAGAAAAAAAAAUGUAAACAAUAUUUGAAAAGACUACUACAUAUCUAGGAAAAUUUAUCAAGAAAGAGCAAUUAUGAGACAUUUUCUAGUGAACUAUGAGAUUUUAAAGACACACACACACAUACACGCACUCCUCAGGGCCUGUAUUAAUAAUAGUUUACCUCAAACUGGUGGCUUAAAACAACAUAAAUUUAUUUUUGUACAGUUCUGGAGUCCAGAAGUCCAAAAUCAGGAUGUUAACCUGGCCAUGUUCCCUCUGAAGGCUCUAAUUGAGAAUCCUCUCUGCUUUUCUCAGCUUCUGGUGACUCUAGGUGUUUCUUGGCUUGUGGUCACAUACUGCACUCUGUCCUCAGUCUUCAUGUGGCCUUCUCUUCUUUAUCCCUAUGCAUUUCCCCCACUGCCUGUCUCAAAUUUAUGUCCUUGUCCUUUUCUCUUAUUAGAACACUUGUCCAUUAAAUUUAGAGACCAUCUGGGUAAUCCAGGAUGAUCUAAUAUCAAAAUUCUUAAUUACAUUUGCAAAGACUCUUUUUUUCAAAUAAGGUAACAUUCACAUGUUCCAGGGACUUAGAUAAAGACAUAUCUUUUUAGAGUCACUAUUCGGGAUCCCUGGGUGGCGCAGGGGUUUGGUGCCUGCCUUUGGCCCAGGGCGCAAUCCUGGAGACCCAGGAUCGAAUCCCACAUCGGGCUCCUGGUGCAUGGAGCCUGCUUCUC